AACGAACGCUGGCGGCAGGCUUAACACAUGCAAGUCGAGCGCAUCCUUCGGGGUGAGCGGCGGACGGGUGAGUAACGCGUGGGAACGUGCCCUCUUCUACGGAAUAGCCUCGGGAAACUGAGAGUAAUGCCGGAUACGCCCGCAAGGGGAAAGAUUUAUCGGAGGAGGAUCGGCCCGCGUUGGAUUAGGUAGUUGGUGGGGUAACGGCCUACCAAGCCGACGAUCCAUAGCUGGUUUGAGAGGAUGAUCAGCCACACUGGGACUGAGACACGGCCCAGACUCCUACGGGAGGCAGCAGUGGGGAAUCUUGGACAAUGGGGGCAACCCUGAUCCAGCCAUGCCGCGUGAUCGAUGAAGGCCUUAGGGUUGUAAAGAUCUUUCAGCUGGGAAGAUAAUGACGGUACCAGCAGAAGAAGCCCCGGCUAACUCCGUG
rnacentral:rRNA from 1 species